GACGGAGGAUGCAAGCGUUAUCCGGAAUUAUUGGGCGUAAAGCGUCCGCAGGUGGCCAUUCAAGUCUGCUGUCAAAGACCGGGGCUUAACCCCAGAGAGGCAGUGGAAACUGAAAAGCUAGAGAGAGGUAGGGGCAGAGGGAAUUCCCGGUGUAGCGGUGAAAUGCGUAGAGAUCGGGAAGAACACCGGUGGCGAAAGCGCUCUGCUGGGCCUAUUCUGACACUGAGGGACGAAAGCUAGGGGAGCGAAUGGG
rnacentral:rRNA from 1 species